rnacentral:sRNA from 1 species
AAUCAUCAAACAUGUUGUUUCCCGCCGUCAUAAAUGGGUCAGUGAUGACCUU